CUUAAUGUAGGUUAAAAAAAAAUAACUAAGGAUUUGUGGGAUCCUAGAAACAAAAAAGUC
rnacentral:tRNA from 1 species